CACCUUUUGGUAAUUUCCCCCCAACGAAACCUAAAACCCCACCAAAAACCCUUGAGAAUCCUUUCUUUUUCUUCAAAAUCCUAACCCUAGCAUUUCUCCUUUGCUUUGCCUUCUCCAAAAUGGCUUCUCGUUUUAGAUCUCUCUCCAAACCAACAUUCUCUAUCCUCAAAUCUACCAUUAACAAACCAUCCCUUAAACCCAGAACCGCCUCUUCUCUCCUUCCUGCUCGUUCUUCCCCCACAUUUUCAAGGUCUGUUUCUCAAUUGGGUUGUCUUCAAUCUCUGCUGCCUCUCCACUCAGCGGUGUCUUCGGCUCGGCUCACGUCGUGUCUGGGAAUCGAUUCAAGGAGCUCGAGGUCGUUGUCUCAGGGUAUGCUUUGCAGUGCAAAUCCAGGAGUUUGAUAAUCUCCAAAAUGUUUGUAAUUUUGUUUCUGGGUACAUACAAAGAAAGACACAACCUGAGUUGGAGAGCUUGCACAUGGUUUGAGAAGAACUAGGUCUCAGUGUGCCUCGAUAACAUAUGAAAGAGUGGAAGGAAGUACCGCAUGAUGGGUCAGAGUCAUUGCUUUCCUUCUUGUUAUGUCCACUUGGCGAUUUAUUUUAUUUGAUAAUUAUGUGCUUUUCAUUAUUAAGUUGAAGUAAAAUUUCUAAAGUCCCACAUGAUGGACAUAACAUACACUGCAAGAAUCCUAUUCCCGAUUCUCCCGAUUUUGCAACUUUUCUCUUUAGAUUUCAAUCUUCUUCCAAGGAUCCUUUUACAGAAGAUUUGUGGUGCAAUGCUGCGACAUUCUUACUUUAGAUAAUAAAAUUGCUUUGCUAUUUGGUCAA